rnacentral:lncRNA from 1 species
CGAUUCUGAGACUUUUAAUCGACCUUAGCAACUCACCAGACAUCCUGUUCUAGAGCACCCUCAAAGGGCUCUAGCUAGAUCCUAACAUCAUUGGAUCUUUCCAAGGAUCUUUGGUCAGCAUGUCGGGCGAGCAGGUACACGUUAAGGGCCACAUUACCCUCGAAACAACAUUCAGAUCAUGAGCGAGUUCCAUAACCAUUGAGGUGAAAUACCUAGUAGUAGAU